rnacentral:snoRNA from 1 species
UUUAAAGUAUGCCAAAGCAAAAGAAUGAUUGGGUGUCCAUAUAACUUAAUUAUAGUUACAUUUGGCCAAUAAUCGUUCGGACA